UUCCUCUCUCUAAUCCCCUUCUCUCCCUCUCAGAUUCUAUUGCUACUAGGUCAUUGCCGUGUAUUGCUGCUGCGUCAUCGAGCCGGCCGCUGUGCUACAGCAUAGGAGCCGCUUCGUCCAUGGUGACUUCCGUAAUUAGGUAAAAUCACAAAUUAUCCACUAAUACCAUGGUUCCUAGGUUUAAUUUUGGUGGGUAAUCACAUGUAUUGCAUAGGACCGUAGGGUUGUGAUCUGAUGUUCAGAGAACGCAUAGGAAUAGCUUGUGUGAAAGAUGUUCCUAUGACAAGGCUGAAAGAAUUUAGUUAGUAGCUAUGGUUUGGUGUGACUCCAGACUGAGCCAAAGUACUCUGAUUUCAGGUCUCUAUUGCUCUGUACGACCAUUCAAUUGUGUACUAAAUAGUGUAUACCGAGCAACAUGUGUGCACAUCAAAGUAGGACAGAGCAGCAGGUUAUAGCUAAUUGACCUGGGAAUGAACUGACGCCCUAAAGUACUCUGUUGCUCUGCAGGAAAACUACUACCACCACUGUCAGCUACAAUUACUCAAGAGUCUAAUUAUUGAUACUGAAAAUGGAAAUUAUAUGACAAGAAAAAUGCAAAACCUAGAGUUGUCCUAACCUAACAGAUGCAUGCUCUGAACUAAUUCUUCUUGCCCCUCUGCUACUCCUUAUCAGUUUAGUUUUUCAGGCUAUGAACAAGAGCUAUCUGAUGUGCUGCUGAUUUGAAAGAAACCUAAGGUUGAGGGUACACUUCUGAGUGGAUCAUGUUUUGGAGAAGAAAAAGCUUCAGAGCCAAGCAAAGAGCCGGGUUGCUUCUUGCUGUGUGCGUUGCUUGAGAGAGAAGAUAGCAGAAAUGAGCUUCUCCAUCAGAACAGGAAGAGCUGAGAAGGAAAUUUGCUUCCUGCUAUACAAGGUUUCCUAAACUGCCAAGGUUGUGACACCCAAAAUUCACAAUUGAGCAGUGAUGACGAGGGAGGCAGCUAACAGUCGAAGCGGACGCGGGUGGCCGGUGGUGAUUACGAAUUUACAAUGCAUUGCAUCCUCUACAGGUCACGCGAUGGCUUGAGUUAGAUAUGCUUUUUUAGGCUUGUUCAUGAUAUGCUUUUUUCUGUACAAUUGUCCAUUGAAGUAUUUUUUAUGCAUGUUUCUUUUUGCAUUACUGGGCAAGUUUGCAGUCAGGGUCUUGAUCAAUAAAUGCUCCCCUCUGACAUAUAUUAUCUUUUGGUUGUUUUCAUGUGCAUGCUUCAACUGACACAGAGCUUAUAGGAGCUUUGAUGGACUUGUCUUGCUGGCCACGCAACAGCAACAACAACAGCAUCACUGUUUUUUGGAGUCCAUAUUAAUAGUUGUUGCCGAAUUGUCUUUGAUGUAUAACUCGAUAUCACUAUAUAUCAAGCAAUUUUGUGUAAACAAGUAGUUUGGUUAGUAGUCUGUGUUCUCUCUCCCAGAUGGACAUAUGUGCCAUUUUACAGCAAGUUGGAUUUCUGACUGCUGAAAUUCGGGUUUUCAUGACCUGGCUUGCACCUAAUAUUUUCCCGUCAAAGAAUGGGAUGCAAUUGUGGAUUUCUAAUACUGUUCUUGCAGUGUACUUUGAGAAUUCGAGAUUAUAUUAAAUCAAAAUAAUUUAUGAAAGCUUGAAGAAUUGUAUUA